rnacentral:lncRNA from 1 species
GUGGUCAAGGAUUUAUAUAGAUGAGGAGAGGCGUGAGAUAUGGGUGCUAGGGUUUAUUCUUAAAAAAAAUUUAUAAAACUUUCUUUCGUGCUACCGCUUAAUUCCUUCUGUAAAAAAUUUGCUCGCUGCUUGUCCUUCUUUCUUUACCUCCGCGUGCGUGCCCAAGCCAUGCCCAACCACUUCUUUGCUGCGUGCAACGUGCGUACGCAUC